GCUCGGCUGGCCCACUUUAGCCUAAAUCCCGGGAUCCAGCAAGCAUUCAUCUCACAUAGCUCGGGUUUUACUGAGCUGGUUCCUCUGCCUGCUUCUCUGACUUGUUGACCCGUGGAGUACACGAGAACUACAAACCCCAGCAUGCACUGCAACAGCUGGUACAAGUGGAUCUGCUCGGCACCUAUAACCGAAUUACCUCUCAGGCUCACACAAGGCUCUGGCCGCUAAGCGAACGAUCUCCCAAAGGGAUUAUUCUCAAGCAGCACAGAAACUGUCCCUAUGCCUCAGGUGGCCCCAGAACUCUUUCGUACUAGAGACUUAUCUGUUAAUAAAGUUAACAAAGGAAGGUGGCCCUCCCAGAAUGUUUGUUUGGGCCACUGCCUGGAAGAAAGAACACUUGACCAUGAGAGACUUGGCUGAGCAGUGCUGGGUCAGCUUAAGCAAAGGAGACCAGCCAUCACCCACGGCAAGAGCAGCUCUGACUCGGACCCACUGUUCCCCCAGCCUGUUAGCAGCCUGUGAGCAAUCUUUAAGUGACCCCUGGCCCUGUCACAUCUCCACUCAACAGGGUUCUUGGGGAGGAUGUGUGGACCGAGAACAGUGCCCACCCACACCACCUGUAAGUGUGGCCACAGCAGCCAGCCGGCAUGGAUGCUAAGUAACAAGUGGUAUUGGGGCACAGAUGUGGCGGGAGCACUUUGGGGCAAAGAAAGAGGUGCUGUGAGUGAGGACAGAAAGGAAGGGGAAAAAAAGCCUCAUGGGUUAGAGCGCCUCUCACCUUUGGCUCUUCUUCAGAAGACUGGUAAAAGAAAGCAAGAGAAAUUGGUUUCCCUGACUUCUCUAAAGCAAGCGUUCUUCAGAAAAGAGAAUCGAUCAGC
rnacentral:lncRNA from 1 species